rnacentral:rRNA from 1 species
AGAGUUUGAUCCUGGCUCAGAACGAACGCUGGCGGCAUGCCUAACACAUGCAAGUCGAACGAUGCUUUCGGGCAUAGUGGCGCACGGGUGCGUAACGCGUGGGAAUCUGCCCCUUGGUUCGGAAUAACAGUUAGAAAUGACUGCUAAUACCGGAUGACGACGUAAGUCCAAAGAUUUAUCGCCGAGGGAUGAGCCCGCGUAGGAUUAGCUAGUUGGUGUGGUAAAGGCGGCACCCAAGGCGACGAUCCUUAGCUGGUCUGAGAGGAUGAUCAGCCACACUGGGACUGAGACACGGCCCAGACUCCUACGGGAGGCAGCAGUGGGGAAUAUUGGACAAUGGGCGCAAGCCUGAUCCAGCAAUGCCGCGUGAGUGAUGAAGGCCUUAGGGUUGUAAAGCUCUUUUACCCGUGAUGAUAAUGACAGUAGCGGGAGAAUAAGCCCCGGCUAACUCCGUG